AUUGAACGCUGGCGGCAGGCCUAACACAUGCAAGUCGAACGAGUGGCGGACGGGUGAGUAAUGUCUGGGCAACUGCCUGAUGGAGGGGGAUAACUACUGGAAACGGUAGCUAAUACCGCAUACCAUCAGAUGUGCCCAGAUGGGAUUAGCUAGUUGGUGGGGUAACGGCUUACCAAGGCGACGAUCCCUAGCUGGUCUGAGAGGAUGACCAGCCACACUGGGACUGAGACACGGUCCAGACUCCUGCGGGAGGCAGCAGUGGGGAAGAUUGCACAAGGGGCGCAAGCCUGAUGCAGCCAUGCCGCGUGUAUGAAGAAGGCCUUCGGGUUGUAAAGUAAUUUCGUCGGGGAGGCGUUACCGACAGAAGAAGCACCGGCUAACUCCGGGCCAGCAGCCGCGGUAAUUC
rnacentral:rRNA from 1 species